rnacentral:misc_RNA from 1 species
GAUGAAGAACGUAGCGAAAUGCGAUAAGUAAUGCGAAUUGCAGAAUUCAGUGAGUCAUCGAAUCUUUGAACGCACAUUGCGCCCUGUGGUAUUCCGCAGGGCAUGCCUGUUCGAGCGUCAUUUCAACCCUCAAGCUCUGCUUGGUGUUGGGCCCUGCCCGCUGCGGCCGGCCCUAAAGACAGUAGCGGUGCCGCCUGGCCCUGAGCGUAGUACAUCUCUCGCUCCAGUGCCCGGUGGUAGCCUGCCAGAACCCCAACUCUCGUGGUUGACCUCGGAUCAGGUAGGGAUACCCGCUGAACUUAAGCAUAUCAAUAAGCGGAGGA